rnacentral:rRNA from 1 species
GCCUCAUAGACUGGGACAACUAUUGGAAACGAUAGCUAAUACCGGAUAACAGCAUUAACUGCAUGGUUGAUGUUUAAAAGUUGGUUUUGCUAACACUAUGAGAUGGCUUUGCGGUGCAUUAGCUAGUUGGUGGGGUAAAGGCCUACCAAGGCGACGAUGCAUAGCCGACCUGAGAGGGUGAUCGGCCACACUGGGACUGAGACACGGCCCAGACUCCUACGGGAGGCAGCAGAU